rnacentral:rRNA from 1 species
UCCGGGUCGAAUGAGACCUGGGCGGCGAAGCGAAAGCGAUAAGCAUUCCACCUGGGGAGUACGCCGGCAACGGUGAAACUCAAAGGAAUUGACGGGGGCCCGCACAAGCGGAGGAACAUGUGGUUUAAUUCGAUGAUACGCGAGGAACCUUACCCGGGCUCAAACGGGAGUGGAAUGGACCAGAGACGGUUCAGCCUACGGGCCGCUUCCGAGGUGCUGCAUGGUUGUCGUCAGCUCGUGCCGUGAGGUGUCGGCUUAAGUGCCAUAACGAGCGCAACCCCCGCCGGCAGUUGCUAACGGGCAAUGCCGAGGACUCUGCCGGGACUGCCGCCGCAAGGCGUGAGGAAGGCGGGGAUGACGUCAAAUCAGCACGGCCCUUACGUCCGGGGCGACACACGUGUUACAAUGGGCGGUACAGCGGGAAGCCAGGCGGCGACGCCGAGCGGAACCCGAAAGCCGUUCUCAGUUCGGAUCGGAGUCUGCAACCCGACUCCGUGAAGCUGGAUUCGCUAGUAAUCGCGCAUCAGCCAUGGCGCGGUGAAUACGU